UGGGAAUACUUUACAUCUAAAAGGGUUGUCCCUCUGGGAUUUGUAGCACUGUUUUAGAUUUCUGUUUCCUGCUUCAGAUUUCUGUUUCAGUUUCCUGAUGUUUCACCAUCACACCAAAUGAUUUUUCAGAACAGCUCUGGUAAAGCACUUUCCUGCAUUAUGUAUUGUACUUUUUAUAUACCUGGAUUGGAUUACAUUGAACUGUAUUGGCAAAUUAAUUACAAAACAAGGUAUUGUCAUGGCAAAAACAUAUGCUUAUAAAAUGUAACAAGUCACCAGUAUGUUGUAAAUAUGAUUUGCUGCUUUAAAAAUGUGUUUUUUAUAUUAAAACAGGGCACAUUUUGUCCUCCCUGCCAGCAAUCAUGUUAUACUUCUAGACACCACUGAGCAGCCUAUGGCAAUGGAAGAGACUGAAUACAUCAACCAAGUCUCUUUGGGUCCAUUGGCAAGACGCCUGCCUUAUGAAUAUGAGUUGUACAUGGUCAUCCCCCUCCCCCCUCGAUGGUUUGCCACCAUGCCGUGGUGAGGGGGCUUGCGUGUUCCAAUGAACCUGUGGGCACAACCACUGGAGUCAUGCACUCCCAGGAAGAGCCACAGGGGAGGAUACAGACCAAGCACAAUCCGAAGACCCUAAGACCUCAACGAUGCAGCAGGCGGAGGAUAACAUGGUACAUGUUACAAUGGCUGUGAAGGCAGAAGAAGGCUGCAACAGACUGAGAAGCCACUCUUGUUGUGUUAAUCACAUCACUGCUGGAACCUCACUCUGUGAAGACUGUGUGUUGACCGGCCGUGCACCCACCUCUACACAUUAAAAAAAAUCACGCACAGGUGUCAAUUUUGAUAUAGUAGAAUUGAAGAUUGAUAGUUAAUUUAGAUUAACUCAUUUUAAUAUAAAUACCAAACUUCAAUGAAUUGACUUAAAAUGGAGCACUGCAACUUGGACAACAACCAAAAAUAAUUUGGACAAUUACCAAAAAGGGACAUCUAUCACGAUUUCCUGAUAAGUUAUGGUUCACGCAUUUCUUUCUUAUGCCAAAACCCCCAUUUGGAAUUUUAACUUUGAACUCAGCACUGCAGUUUAGAUGCCAAUCAAAAUACUCUUGUCACUUUUUGCCAUAGUGUCCUACUGAGUUAUGGCUACUACAGAUAUGCAAACACUCCUUUUUACUAUUGUAAACUAUUUCAAAAUAUAAUUAUAAAACUUGCACUUAGAAACUGUGAUUAGCAAACUGGCAUAUGUAAGGACCCUCACUUUAUGGGAAAUCCAUACAUAGCUGAACAUGUCAUAAUACAAAGCAAUACUUGAUCCUAA